UACAGAGGGGGCAAGCGUUGUUCGGAAUUACUGGGCGUAAAGGGCGCGUAGGCGGCCUUCUAAGUCGAACGUGAAAUCCCUCGGCUUAACCGGGGAACUGCGUCUGAUACUGGAUGGCUUGAGUUUGGGAGAGGGACGCGGAAUUCCAGGUGUAGCGGUGAAAUGCGUAGAUAUCGGGAGGAAUACCAGUGGCGAAGGCGGCCUUCUGGACGGAUACUGACGCUGAGGCGCGAAAGCCAGGGGAGCAAACGGG
rnacentral:rRNA from 1 species